rnacentral:rRNA from 1 species
GUGGAUUCUCAAGCGUGAGGUAAGAGCAUUUGGUGGAUGCCUUGGCAUGUGCAGGCGAUGAAGGACGUGGCACGCUGCGAUAAGCGUCGGGGAGAUGUGAGCAAUCUUUGAUCCGGCGAUUUCCGAAUGGGGAAACCCACCCUCACCAUUUCCUUUCGAUUGUCUUCGGACAGUCGGAAAGAGGUGGAUAGGGUAUCACCAGACUGAAUACAUAGGUUUGGUGAAGCGAACCCGGGGAACUGAAACAUCUCAGUACCCGGAGGAAAAGACAUCAACAGAGAUUCCCGUAGUAGUGGCGAGCGAACCGGGACCAGGCCAGUGCCUUCAUUUCAACUAGCAAAACACUUUGGAAAGAGUGGCCAUAGCGGGUGACAGCCCCGUAUGCGAAAGUGAUGAUGAAGGACUCGAGUAGGGCGGGACACGUGAAAUCCUGUCUGAACAUGGGGGGACCACCCUCCAAGCCUAAAUACUCGCACAUGACCGAUAGCGAACACAGUACCGUGAGGGAAAGGUGAAAAGCACCCCGAUUAGGGGAGUGAAACAGUACCUGAAACCGGAUGCUUACAAGCAGUUGGAGCCCCAUAGGGGGUGACAGCGUACCUCUUGCAUAAUGGGUCAGUGACUUAAUCUACCAUGCAAGCUUAAGCCGUUAGGUGUAGGCGCAGCGAAAGCGAGUCUGAAUAGGGCGACUGAGUAUGAUGGAUUAGACCCGAACCCCGGCGAUCUAGGCAUGGCCAGGUUGAAGGUGCAGUAACAUGCACUGGAGGACCGAACCGGUGAAUGUUGAAAAAUUCUCGGAUGAGCUGUGUUUAGGGGUGAAAGGCCAAUCAAGCCGGGAAAUAGCUGGUUCUCCGCGAAAUCUAUUGAGGUAGAGCGUCGGAUGUAUGCCGAUGGGGGUAGAGCACUGGAUGGGCUAGGGCUGCGCGAGCGGUACCAAACCUAACCAAACUCCGAAUACCAUCGAGUCUUAUCCGGCAGACAGACGGCGGGUGCUAAGGUCCGUCGUCAAAAGGGAAACAGCCCUAACCUACAGCUAAGGUCCCCAAGUCAUAUCUAAGUGGGAAAGCAUGUGGGAAUCCCAAAACAACCAGGAGGUUGGCUUAGAAGCAGCCAUCCUUUAAAGAAAGCGUAACAGCUCACUGGUCUAAACAAGGGUUCCUGCGGCGAAGAUGUAACGGGGCUAAAGAUAUGCACCGAAGCUUAGGGUUCAGAAUUUAUUCUGAGCGGUAGCGGAGCGUUCCGUAAGCGAGUGAAGGCGAAGGGUAACCGACGCUGGACGUAUCGGAAGUGCGAAUGCUGACAUGAGUAGCGACAAACAGGGUGAGAUGCCCUGUCGCCGAAAGACCAAGGGUUCCUGCGCAACGCUAAUCGGCGCAGGGUUAGCCGGCCCCUAAGACGAGCCCGAAGGGGGUAGUCGAUGGGAACCACGUAAAUAUUCGUGGGCCUGAAGAUGUGUGACGGAUCGUGGAAGUUGUUUUCUCUUAUUGGAUUGAGAGGGCAGCCAAGCGGUUCCAGGAAAUAGCCUCUUCACUAUAGACCGUACCCGAAACCGACACAGGUGGUCAGGUAGAGUAUACCAAGGCGCUUGAGAGAAGUAUCCUGAAGGAACUCGGCAAAUUGCCUCCGUACCUUCGGAAGAAGGAGGCCCCAUAUCGACGCAAGUCUUUGUGGGGGGCACAGGCCAGGGGGUAGCGACUGUUUAGCAAAAACACAGCACUCUGCUAAGUCGGCUUCAAGACGACGUAUAGGGUGUGACGCCUGCCCGGUGCUCGAAGGUUAAGAGGAGGAGUGCAAGCUCCGAAUUGAAGCCCGAGUAAACGGCGGCCGUAACUAUAACGGUCCUAAGGUAGCGAAAUUCCUUGUCGGGUAAGUUCCGACCUGCACGAAUGGCGUAACGACUUCCCCACUGUCUCCAGGAUAUGCUCAGCGAAAUUGAAUUCUCCGUGAAGAUGCGGAGUACCCGCGGUUAGACGGAAAGACCCCGUGCACCUUUACUGCAGCUUCAGAGUGGCAUUAGGAAAUUACUGUGUAGAAUAGGUGGGAGGCUUUGAAACAUCGGCGCCAGCUGGUGUGGAGCCAACCUGUGAAAUACCACCCUGUGAUUUUCUGAUGUCUAACCACGCACCGUUAUCCGGUGUUGGGACCCUCUGUGGCGGGUAGUUUGACUGGGGCGGUCGCCUCCUAAAGAGUAACGGAGGCGCGCGAUGGUAUGCUCAGGACGGUUGGAAACCGUCUGCAAGAGUGCAAUGGCAUAAGCAUGCCUGACUGCGAGACCGACAGGUCGAGCAGAGACGAAAGUCGGUCAUAGUGAUCCGGUGGUCCCUCGUGGAAGGGCCAUCGCUCAACGGAUAAAAGGUACGCCGGGGAUAACAGGCUGAUGAUUCCCAAGAGCUCAUAUCGACGGAAUCGUUUGGCACCUCGAUGUCGGCUCAUCACAUCCUGGGGCUGGAGCAGGUCCCAAGGGUUUGGCUGUUCGCCAAUUAAAGUGGUACGUGAGCUGGGUUCAGAACGUCGCGAGACAGUUUGGUCCCUAUCUGCCGUGGGCGUCGAUUGUUGAAAGGAGUUGCCCCUAGUACGAGAGGACCGGGGUGAACAUACCUCUGGUGUACCUGUCAUCCUGCCAAGGGUGCCGCAGGGUAGCUAUGUAUGGACGGGAUAACCGCUGAAAGCAUCUAAGCGGGAAGCCUCCCUUGAGAUAAGCAAUCUUCGAACCGUCAUAGACCAUGACGUUGAUAGGCCGGGUGUGGAAGCGCAGUAAUGCGUGUAGCUAACCGGUCCUAAUAGUUCUUUUCGCGCUUG